rnacentral:rRNA from 1 species
UACGUAGGGUGCAAGCGUUAAUCGGAAUUACUGGGCGUAAAGCGUGCGCAGGCGGUUAUGUAAGACAGUUGUGAAAUCCCCCGGGCUCAACCUGGGAACUGCAUCUGUGACUGCAUAGCUAGAGUACGGUAGAGGGGGAUGGAAUUCCGCGUGUAGCAGUGAAAUGCGUAGAUAUGCGGAGGAACACCGAUGGCGAAGGCAAUCCCCUGGACCUGUACUGACGCUCAUGCACGAAAGCGUGGGGAGCAAACGAGG